rnacentral:misc_RNA from 1 species
AACCUAGCACACCUGCGGUGUGUACCUGCGGAGGGAUCAUUAACGAGUUACCACUCUAUAACCCUUUGUGAACAUACCUACAUGUUGCUUCGGCGGUCGGCCCCCCCGGGCCCCCGGCCCCGCUCACGCGGGGCGUCCGCCGGAGGAUAACCAAACUCUGAUUUAACGACGUUUCUUCUGAGUGGCACAAGCAAAUAAUCAAAACUUUUAACAACGGAUCU